rnacentral:rRNA from 1 species
UUAAGCGACUAAGCGUACACGGUGGAUGCCCUGGCAGUCAGAGGCGAUGAAGGACGUGCUAAUCUGCGAUAAGCGUCGGUAAGGUGAUAUGAACCGUUAUAACCGGCGAUUUCCGAAUGGGGAAACCCAGUGUGUUUCGACACACUAUCAUUAACUGAAUCCAUAGGUUAAUGAGGCGAACCGGGGGAACUGAAACAUCUAAGUACCCCGAGGAAAAGAAAUCAACCGAGAUUCCCCCAGUAGCGGCGAGCGAACGGGGAGCAGCCCAGAGCCUGAAUCAGUGUGUGUGUUAGUGGAAGCGUCUGGAAAGGCGCGCGAUACAGGGUGACAGCCCCGUACACAAAAAUGCACAUGCUGUGAGCUCGAUGAGUAGGGCGGGACACGUGGUAUCCUGUCUGAAUAUGGGGGGACCAUCCUCCAAGGCUAAAUACUCCUGACUGACCGAUAGUGAACCAGUACCGUGAGGGAAAGGCGAAAAGAACCCCGGCGAGGGGAGUGAAAAAGAACCUGAAACCGUGUACGUACAAGCAGUGGGAGCACGCUUAGGCGUGUGACUGCGUACCUUUUGUAUAAUGGGUCAGCGACUUAUAUUCUGUAGCAAGGUUAACCGAAUAGGGGAGCCGAAGGGAAACCGAGUCUUAACUGGGCGUUAAGUUGCAGGGUAUAGACCCGAAACCCGGUGAUCUAGCCAUGGGCAGGUUGAAGGUUGGGUAACACUAACUGGAGGACCGAACCGACUAAUGUUGAAAAAUUAGCGGAUGACUUGUGGCUGGGGGUGAAAGGCCAAUCAAACCGGGAGAUAGCUGGUUCUCCCCGAAAGCUAUUUAGGUAGCGCCUCGUGAAUUCAUCUCCGGGGGUAGAGCACUGUUUCGGCAAGGGGGUCAUCCCGACUUACCAACCCGAUGCAAACUGCGAAUACCGGAGAAUGUUAUCACGGGAGACACACGGCGGGUGCUAACGUCCGUCGUGAAGAGGGAAACAACCCAGACCGCCAGCUAAGGUCCCAAAGUCAUGGUUAAGUGGGAAACGAUGUGGGAAGGCCCAGACAGCCAGGAUGUUGGCUUAGAAGCAGCCAUCAUUUAAAGAAAGCGUAAUAGCUCACUGGUCGAGUCGGCCUGCGCGGAAGAUGUAACGGGGCUAAACCAUGCACCGAAGCUGCGGCAGCGACNGAAGGUGUGCUGUGAGGCAUGCUGGAGGUAUCAGAAGUGCGAAUGCUGACAUAAGUAACGAUAAAGCGGGUGAAAAGCCCGCUCGCCGGAAGACCAAGGGUUCCUGUCCAACGUUAAUCGGGGCAGGGUGAGUCGACCCCUAAGGCGAGGCCGAAAGGCGUAGUCGAUGGGAAACAGGUUAAUAUUCCUGUACUUGGUGUUACUGCGAAGGGGGGACGGAGAAGGCUAUGUUGGCCGGGCGACGGUUGUCCCGGUUUAAGCGUGUAGGCUGGUUUUCCAGGCAAAUCCGGAAAAUCAAGGCUGAGGCGUGAUGACGAGGCACUACGGUGCUGAAGCAACAAAUGCCCUGCUUCCAGGAAAAGCCUCUAAGCAUCAGGUAACAUCAAAUCGUACCCCAAACCGACACAGGUGGUCAGGUAGAGAAUACCAAGGCGCUUGAGAGAACUCGGGUGAAGGAACUAGGCAAAAUGGUGCCGUAACUUCGGGAGAAGGCACGCUGAUAUGUAGGUGAAGUCCCUCGCGGAUGGAGCUGAAAUCAGUCGAAGAUACCAGCUGGCUGCAACUGUUUAUUAAAAACACAGCACUGUGCAAACACGAAAGUGGACGUAUACGGUGUGACGCCUGCCCGGUGCCGGAAGGUUAAUUGAUGGGGUUAGCCGCAAGGCGAAGCUCUUGAUCGAAGCCCCGGUAAACGGCGGCCGUAACUAUAACGGUCCUAAGGUAGCGAAAUUCCUUGUCGGGUAAGUUCCGACCUGCACGAAUGGCGUAAUGAUGGCCAGGCUGUCUCCACCCGAGACUCAGUGAAAUUGAACUCGCUGUGAAGAUGCAGUGUACCCGCGGCAAGACGGAAAGACCCCGUGAACCUUUACUAUAGCUUGACACUGAACAUUGAGCCUUGAUGUGUAGGAUAGGUGGGAGGCUU